rnacentral:misc_RNA from 1 species
GAUGAAGAACGUAGCGAAAUGCGAUAAGUAAUGUGAAUUGCAGAAUUCAGUGAAUCAUCGAAUCUUUGAACGCAUCUUGCGCUCCUUGGUAUUCUCAGGAGCAUGCCUGUUUGAGUGUCAUUAAAUUCUCAACUACACUGACUUUGAAUUGGUGUGGCUUGGAUUUGGGGGGAAAAUUGUUGUGGGCUUUUUGUAUAGUCUGCUCCCCUGAAAUUGAUUAGCGGUACCUUUGUGGAACUGUCUACAGGUGUGAUAAUUAUCUACAUCUUAGACAUCUGCUGGAAUGCUGCUUUCUAAACCUUACUUGUAUUGACAAUCUUGACCUCAAAUCAGGUAGGACUACCCGCUGAACUUAAGCAUAUCAAUAAGCGGAGGA